AGAGCGAACGUUAGCGGCACGCCUAACACAUGCAAGUCGAGCGUGAAAGGGAGCAAUCCUGAGUAAAGCGGCGCACGGGUGAGUAACACGUGAGUAACCUGCCCCAAACUUUGGGAUAACCCUCGGAAACGGGGGCUAAUACCGGAUACGACACAUGGCUGCAUGGUUUGUGUGUGGAAAGAUUUUUUGGUUGGGAUGGGCUCGCGGCCUAUCAGCUUGUUGGUGGGUGAUGGCCUACCAAGGCGACGACGGGUA
rnacentral:rRNA from 1 species